rnacentral:lncRNA from 1 species
AGCCACCCAGGCAUCCCUAAAAAAGUAUUUUUAAAUUGUAUUGUGUUCUCUCUCUCUCUCUCUCUUUUUUUCCUGGAUUCAGAAACUAGCAUUUCUGCAGUUUCAGUUUUUAAGCAUUCAUUUUCCUUUUUUGCUUCAUGGAACUAAUCAUAUUGUUUUGAGAUUGAGAGAAGUUUAGAACCUGUAAUGCAAUCCUAGCUGGAACUGUGCAGAAUUUUUGGAAUUCUUCAUGAAGGAAUUGUAAAGGAAGGCACACAGAAGAGGUGAAAGAAAUCUGAAGUUUCAGAAAUUGCGUUUAUUUAGCAUACUAACUCUGGAUGAGCUUAUAUUCUGGAGAGGACUGCAUCAAAUUCCAGAGAAUCAAGCCUAUUUUUCCAAGAUUGGACUUACCAUCUAUUAUGGAAUUUGAUCACAGUAUCUGGAAAAUGUUUUAGAAGUCAUCAAGUACAUCAAUUACUAUUUUCUUUUGUUGAAAAUAUAUGAGAGAUUAAAUUAAGUUCAAUAUGUAGGAUUUUAUUUUAUUUUAUUUUUUAUUUUAUUUUUUUAAUUUUUAUUUAUUUAUGAUAGUCACAGAGAGAAAG